UCCCUGGUGGCUCAGAUGGUAAAGCAUCUGCCUGCAAUGCAGGAAACCUGGGUUUGAUCCCUGGGUUGGGAA
rnacentral:tRNA from 1 species